rnacentral:tRNA from 1 species
GGAGAUGUAGUUCAGUGGUAGAGCUCAUGCUUACUAUGUAUGAGACUUCUGGGCUCAAUCCCCGAAUCCCCC